UACGUAGGGUGCGAGCGUUAAUCGGAUUUACUGGGCGUAAAGCGUGCGCAGGCGGCCCGUUAAGACAGGUGUGAAAUCCCUGGGCUCAACCUAGGAAUUGCGCUUGUGACUGGCGGGCUCGAGUACGGUAGAGGGGGGUGGAAGUCCUGGUGUAGCAGUGAAAUGCGUAGAGAUCAGGAGGAACACCGAUGGCGAAGGCAGCCCCCUGGGCCUGUACUGACGCUCAUGCACGAAAGCGUGGGGAGCAAACAGG
rnacentral:rRNA from 1 species